rnacentral:lncRNA from 1 species
UAUUUUUUUUUUUGUCAUCAAAAGCUUCAUUUCACAAUCAAAUUGGUCCGAACAUACCGGCUUCUAGAGCUAGUGGUUCAAAAACCAAAACGUCUACAAGCAAGUAGUUUAAGUCUCGUGAUCGGGCCUCUUUCGCAAGAGAAUCUGUACGGAUGUUUAAAGAAUGUGAAAUAAAGCUCAAAGAAAAAGAGGUAAAGGUUGCACUCAAAGAGGCAAUGGUAUCGAUUUCAGGAUCCAGUGAUGGCCAUUGCUUGGAGGAUCAUAUGAUUUGUACCAACUGUUGACAGUC